rnacentral:rRNA from 1 species
GUCGAACGGGGAUUACACGGCGAUGCGAUUUCGGUCAAAUCAAGUGCAAUCUUAGUGGCGGACGGGUGAGUAACGCGUGGGUAACCUGCCUUGCACUGGGGGAUAACACUUAGAAAUAGGUGCUAAUACCGCAUAAGCGCACGGUCCUGCAUGGGACAGUGUGAAAAACUCCGGUGGUGCAAGAUGGACCCGCGUCUGAUUAGCUGGUUGGCGGGGUAAAGGCCCACCAAGGCGACGAUCAGUAGCCGGCCUGAGAGGGUGGACGGCCACAUUGGGACUGAGACACGGCCCAAACUCCUACGGGAGGCAGCAGUGGGGGAUAUUGGACAAUGGGGGGAACCCUGAUCCAGCGACGCCGCGUGAGUGAAGAAGUAUUUCGGUAUGUAAAGCUCUGUCAGCAGGGAAGAAAGCAAUGACGGUACCUGACCAAGAAGCCCCGGCUAACUACGUGCCAGCAGCCGCGGUAAUACGUAGGGGGCAAGCGUUAUCCGGAAUUACUGGGUGUAAAGGGAGCGUAGACGGCUGUGCAAGUCUGGAGUGAAAGGCGGGGGCCCAACCCCCGGACUGCUCUGGAAACUGUAUGGCUGGAGUGCAGGAGAGGUAAGCGGAAUUCCUAGUGUAGCGGUGAAAUGCGUAGAUA